rnacentral:rRNA from 1 species
GGGCCCGCACAAGCGGUGGAGCAUGUGGUUUAAUUCGAUGAUACGCGAGGAACCUUACCAGGGCUUAAAUGUAACGGGACAGAUCUAGAGAUAGAUCCUUCUUCGGACUCAUUACAAGGUGCUGCAUGGUUGUCGUCAGCUCGUGCCGUGAGGUGUCAGGUUAAGUCCUAUAACGAGCGCAACCCCCAUCGUUAGUUGCCAACGAGUAAUGUCGGGAACUCUAACGAAACUGCCGGUGCAAACCGUGAGGAAGGUGGGGAUGACGUCAAAUCAUCACGGCCCUUACGUCCUGGCUACACACGUGCUACAAUGGUCGGUACAGAGAGUUGCCAACCCGCGAGGGU